GGGAUCCAUUCCCGGGAAACGGAACUACUUUCUCUUAAGGUCCUCUGAGAGGGAAGAGCAAAGGCAAACGACAGAAGAAACCCCACGAGCCAAACAACAUCCUGAAACACAUCGUGACAGAACUGCAGAAAGGGCAUGGGAUGGACAGAGAGGCUCUGUGGAAGGUGGCAUUUCCUGAAGGAAGGGAAGAGAUGCCAGGCACAGUCCCAGAAGAUUGGGAUCACGGCUUAGAUUACUUGGAAACACUGGUGAAUGGUGGUUUGAAGACCUUGCCAGAUGUUGGAG